rnacentral:rRNA from 1 species
AAUAGAUACCCAGGUAGUCCACGCCGUAAACGAUGGAUGCUAGCUAUUGGGGGGAAUCGACCCCCGUCCGAAGCGAAGCUAACGCGUUAAGCAUCCCGCCUGAGUAGUACGAGCGCAAGCUUAAAACUCAAAGGAAUUGACGGGGACCCGCACAAGCGGUGGAGCGUGUGGUUUAAUUCGAUGGUAAACGAAGAACCUUACCAAGGUUUGACAUCCCGGUAGCCGUUCUCCGAAAGGAGAAUUUCAUUUAGUUGGACCGGUGACAGGUGAUGCAUGGCCGUCGUCAGCUCGUGUCGUGAGAUGUUGGGUUAAGUCCCGCAACGAGCGCAACCCUUAUGAUUUAGUUGGAUUUUUCUAAACAGACUGCCCUGGUAACAGGGAGGAAGGAGGGGAUGAUGUCAGGUCAGUAUUUCCCUUACACCUUGGGCGACACACGCGCUACAAUGGCCGGUACAAUGGGCAGCUAAGCCGCGAGGUGGAGCAAAUCCCAUCAAAGCCGGUCCCAGUUCGGAUUGCAGGCUGAAACCCGCCUGCAUGAAGCCGGAAUCGCUAGUAA